rnacentral:lncRNA from 1 species
GUGUAGUUCACUGCAUCACCUGAUUUCUGCAUCCCUGAAUCCAGGGAAGGGGACACUCACUAGUUUCCAAGGCAGCCUGGGUCGCUUUGAGGGCCAAGUAAGAAAGCUGAAUUUUCAAAGAAAACAUGCUCAUGUUUGGUCAUGGUGGUGGUUUGCUUAGCAAACUAUCCCUCCAUGACUGACAAUUAGUCUUCAUUCUCAGUAGCCACAGGUCAUUCCCCUCCAAUCAGUUCUUUGCAAGAGAAAGGGCUUUAAAGUUAUCAGAGUACAGGCUGUUUGUCUUUUUGAAAUUUACAGAUGGGGGAGAUAAAAAAGUAUUUGUAGCACCUGGAUUCAUUCUCAUCAGCCUCAUCAUCAGGCAUAGUAGUAACAGCUAUCACUUCUAUACACUUGCUACGUGCCAGGCAUUAUUCUAAGCAUUUUGUAUACAUGAAAUCAAGAAAAUUUGAUUUCUCUAAAUAACUUCUCCUCUUUGCUUUCCUAAAAGGGUCUAGAAUGUAAUGGCACAUCAACGAGAGAAGGCAUCUCCAUGUCAUCUGCUCCAAGCCCCAACUUUAUAGGUACAUCCCAGAGAGGAACAACUGACAAACACAGCUCACUUGAACUAUUCAAGAUCUGCUGGCUCUUUUUCCUCGGAUGGCUUAAGGUGAAG